CCUUGUGUCUUGAUGUACUGCCUUAUGUUAGUGUCGUGUUCUUGGUGUUGAUGUUUUACUAAAACGUUUCACCUGCAUCCGACUCACCGCCCCAUCAUUACACCAUUGUAACCAGUGUGUGCGUCCACUGACCUGGAGUUUCUUGAGUUUCAGCUGAACAUGUGCAGGUGUUCUAAUGCCUUUAGUGUCCACAAUGGGCCUGGCCGUACUCAGCUGGAGGUGAUGGUGGCGGCAUCUGGCGCCAACAGGUGCUUGGAGACCAUCAGCAAGGCUUGAGAAGAAAGCUGGAGGCAUAUGCUGCAGACAAAGCGGGGGACCUCCUCUCCCCCUCCCUCUCAGUGUGCUGUCCCUGUGUUGAUCAGCAGAGAGAGACUAAUGAUGGGCAGGUUAUCCCCCCACGUGUGAAGACCCAGGAUUCAAAGGUCAUAUCCUCCCCCACCCCCCCACCCCCCAAGCCACCGAACUCUGCCAUACCUCUGCCGAUAUUGAAAACCAAUCAGGGCCUUCCUUCAGGCAAUUUGUCGUGGUGGUCAGAAGGGGUGGAAGGGGGAGUAUAAGUGGGAUAGGAAUAGGAAACAGGCUGAGAGGGAAGGUGUUUGUGUGUAGGGGGGGUUUGGGUGGUGGGUGGCAGUGGGGAGUGGGAUACUGAUGAUUCUCCAUCUGUCCGACAAGGACCUUAGGGAGGCAAUCUGUUAUUUUUGAAAAGCCCUUGUCGAUGGUGAGAAGUUAUAGAGGCUCUAUCCGGCCAUUUACUGCUUGAUGUUGUUCAUUUAUAAACAUGAAAAGACCCCUUUCCCCGGGUAAACAGUUUGACCCUGCGGACGGCAGGUCACUGUUAUUAUGUGAUAGAGAUUUGAGAAGGUGAUGUGUAGUCUACCUCACUCAGCAGUUUGGUGUCAGUGCUGGAUCAUGCUACGGCAGGGCUUUUUUUUUUUUUUUACACGAAACGUUAAAAAAAAAGCUGAAACAGGGAGGGACUUCCUAGAUUUGUCAAAUUAAAAAAAUAAAAAAAUAAAAAAAAGUUUUCUGUUUUAAGACAUUUGCCAUUGCGUUCCCUAACAUGAACCAGGCAUCACAGCCUUCUCAAUCUAAGGCAGUGAUUCCCAAACCUCUCCUUGAGUACACCCAGCCAUUCCACUUAUUUCAAUGUAUUCCAGUUCUAGCACACCUCGUUAAAUUGAUCAACUAAACACAGAGCCCUUCAUUGGUUGAAAUCAGGUAUGCCAGCACUGGAACACAUCAAAUACGUGGAAUGUGGGGGUACACCAGGGGAGGUUUGGGAAACACUGAUCUACAGAACGACCUGUGAUGAUGUUUUUGACACUACUAACUAGUCACCUUUUGCAUAAUAUUAGCUGCCUGUUGUGUGGUACACUAUGCCAUUGAUACUGACACAGUUUUGAGGCAUCGGUAGAGAUUGUGAUAAACAGUUCAAAUUAGAUGACAAUGGUAUGUACGUAUCUCUGUAGCACAAGACACACACAUUCACACACUGAAAAGUAGAGUCAUCCCUGUGGUCUGUUACCUGAGAGAUCCUGGGGCGGAGGAGUCUAAUACAGGUGUGAUGUCAUUGUGCUAAACACACACACACACACACACACAUACAGUAUACACACACACACAUACAGUACACACACACACCAUCUAUUUUUGUGAAAGGUCUGGCAGUCAUCGUCUCUCGCCGAUAAAGUCUGUUAUUUCCUUAUGUGGCAAUGUGGGUAUUUAUAUGUAGAGAAGAUAUCCACCACCGAGAGAGAGAGGAACAGUGAGAGAGAGAGAGGCUACUGCCUCUACAGGUUUGAGGCCACAGACAACUCUGUUUCCUCCCCCCGCCCUCUCUCCUUUCCUCUAUCCCCCGGCCUUGCUUCAUCCUUCUCUCAUCCUCCUCUCUCUCGUAGACAUUAGCUAGGUUUCCAUGAACUUUUCCAGCAAUUUUUUUUUUGGGGGGGACAUUUAGAAAGUUCACAUAGAAAACAGAUGUGACAAUUGCCUGCUACAAUGUGUUUCCAUUGAACUAUCUUGUGUCGAUAAAACAGCUGGAUGUAAUGAAGUCACACCUAAAAAAAAAAAAAAAGAACUUUCUUUCGCAAGAAAGAACAGUGUCGGCUAAAAAUGAACUUGAAGUGUUUCCAUUACCCAUUUAGGCAAAAUGCUCAUUAAUAAAUUGGCGACAGCCUAUAUGCCAUCCCACCUUUCUGUUUCAUGUCUCAGGUAGCCCGCAUAGAGACAAUGCAAGAAUUUACUAAUAUUUGCCAUAUUCUAAUCAUUCUCAUGUGCCAAUGUAUCGCCACAGUCUGUGUCAUGGUGAUUUAUUUUUUAUUUUUUUAGGGGGUGGAUCAGCUUUAAUAUCGAGAAUAAAUUGUUGCUUCCAUCAA